CGCACAUUGCGCCCUUUGGCAUUCCGAAGGGCAUGCCUGUUCGAGCGUCAUUAUCAACCCUCAAGCCUGGCUUGGUGUUGGGCAACGGUGGUCACUCACCCGCCCCAAAGGCAACGACGGCGUCCGCGAGACCCCCGGUACAACGAGCUUUUCACGAGGCACGUACUGUGGUGGGCUCGAGGACCCGGUCUUCCAUUUAUUUCUCAGGUUGACCUCGGAUCAGGUAGGGAUACCCGCUGAACUUAA
rnacentral:misc_RNA from 1 species